rnacentral:rRNA from 1 species
UACGUAGGGUGCGAGCGUUGUCCGGAAUCAUUGGGCGUAAAGGGCGCGUAGGUGGCCCAGUCAGCGUGCGGUGAAAGCCCGGAGCUCAACUCCGGGUCUGCCGUGCCGACUGUCAAACUCGAGGGCUGUAGAGGCAGACGGAAUUCCGGGUGUAGCGGUGGAAUGCGUAGAGAGUCCGGAGGAAGACCGGUGGCGAAGGCGGUCUGCUGGGCAGUUUCUGACACUGAUGCGCGACAGCGUGGGGAGCAAACAGG